GCGACGCCGCCCCGCCCCGAGCGGAUGCCACCCCGUUUCCAGCCUCCGGUGCUCACCGUAAUGCUCACAACAAUCUAGCAAAGUGGGGAUCAUCUUCACCACUGUACAGAUGAAGAAAUUGAAGGUCAGACAUUCAAGGUUAUGUGGCCACAUGAGAGAAAUACCAGAGCUGGGAUGAAGACUCACGGCCCUCAGACACCAGGUUCCUUCUUGAGAGAAGCCGGAUGGAUGUGCAUGCAGGGAGGUGAGCCUCAAAGCAGGUCCAGCUUUCUCCCGUGAGUGUUCUAGUGGCUUAGGGUUAGAGUUAGGGUCCAGAGGAGGAGAGGCGUCCAGAGCUGGGGACGUCUGCGUUUUGCCUUGCUGUCCCAGAGUGGCAGCAAGGAGUGGCCUGGCCUAGAGGGUCUUUGUCUUAUCUUGUGACUUGCUGUUUCUCCUCUGUCUGCAGGAGCUGGGGGAGGUUGGAGAAGCCGCAGCCCAGAAGGGGAGGGAGGACACCAUGUCAGAGCUUGCUGGAGCAAGCUUUGGAGGAAGGCCACAGGGGACAUUGUCACCAAGGGCCACGGCAGCGUGCACCCUGGGUUAGAGAAAGGGGCAAAUUAUGGAUAUGAAAAAUGCUUCCCUCAAUGAAAAGGACCCUGCUGAGACAGGAUGGCUGUGGGCCAAAUACCCCUACAGUGCCUGAUUCUUUUAUCUUAUUAUUUAUUUAAACAAGACCAGCAUUUUGCUUUAGAUAGAAAAUCUCUCUCUGCUACAAAAUUGCAAGCCCUGGGAAAAGUCUCCAAGAAUGGCUGAUGCCACAAUCAAACAAUAACAUACAUGUCGGGGUGAAACAGUGCAUAGGGGAUGAAAAAAGGGAAAAGCUCGAGGCCCUGGGAGGAAGGAGCUGGGAGGGCGGAGGGUGUGGAGGUGUGAGGGCCCAGAGGGAUUGCCCAGGAAGGUAUGGAGGACCGAAAAUGGAUCACCAGCCCUCAUGGACAACUUAAACUAAAGGUGAAAGAGACAGAAAAGCUGGCAGGGGGAAUUGUCUCCAGCCAACCUGUCAACUUUUGGAAAAAGAUGGAUCACAAAGAAUGGGAAGUGGAAGAGAAGCAGAGAAGAAACCAAGAAUAAAGAGCAGACACUGUGGGCAGAGCUGUGGGGCGCCCAUGCUGGCAGAGCUGGGUUCUAGGGCCCUGGUUUCGGCUGUGUAACCGCUUGCCCAGCCCUCAUCUCAUCCCUCAACAAUGAGGGCCUGGCAAGGGAGGGUAUCUGAACUAUUUUUGUCUCAUGUAUUUGUGGACUCUGUCCAAAAGCUCUGAGAUGCCAAGUUAAAAUGGAGAAGGUUUGAGUCACCGCCACCGGGCCAGAGCCUCAGUGAGUGGGACGCCAGGGCUGGGGUGGGGUUGCAUGGGUGGGGGGCUGCAGAGUUGCUGUUGAUUCACGCAGCUUCUCUGGGGUCUGGAUCUCAGUUUGGCUGUGAGGCUAAGCCCUGAAUGGGUGCAUAGCAAUGUUAUUCUGGAGUGCUAACAGCCUACCCUUGCCACCCACGUCUUAGAGACAUUAGAAAGUUGGGUAAAACAUUCCCCACCUCCCUCUGAUUUUUCUGGAGUAGACUGUGAUGAGGAGAUGGUCAGUUUCCAAUAAAGUCAGCACCUUCCAUGAAAAAUGACUUUCCCUGAAAGUUGUUUUGGAGUGUUAAAGAAAAAUAUCUUCAAAAUUCUUUGCCACUUUUUGAGCCCGAUUCCAGAUGUUUGGCAUAUCCUAAAUUAUCCACAUUAAGCUUCGAUAAUCCUAGGAGGUAGAUACUGUUAUUCCCAUUCCGCGGAUGCAGAAACUGAGGCCCUCACUAAUGCUGGGACCACUCAUGGUCACAGCUGGUGGUGGUGGAAUUGGGAUUUGAAGUCAGAUCUCUGAUUCAGAACUUGGGUACUUCUUUCAUAUUUCCUUUUCCUCCUUUAUUCAAAGUAGCUUAAUUGCUUUUGUAAAAUAAACGUGAACAUCACCCCAAAUGCCGCCAUCCAGGGAUAACCAGGAACAGUUUAAUGAAUAUCCUUCAAGACCUGUCUUUCUUGCACUAACUUGAAUUCAAGCUUGUCAAUACCCAGAUUAUUCCUUCUUGAAAGUCGGUCCUAUGCAUUUAAUUGAAUUGAAGUUGGUGGCUUUUCCUGCUCUUGACAUUUGCCUGAGUUGGCCUCGGGAUUCUGCAAAGGAAGCGCCUUCUGGGCUGCAGCUUUCUCUUUCCCUACUCCCCGUGGUGUCUGCUCCUCACCUCAGUCAGAUAAGACCUUGGUCCUCCUUUCCAUGCCCCCGGAAAGGACCCAACUAGCUCUUCCAAAGAUGCGCUUGGAAUUCCCGGACAGCUAAGGGAUCAGCUGCCAGGACGGGGCUGUUGCACGGUUGGCGUGUGGGGGCCGGUGUUCCGUGGAAGGUGUCUAGAGAUGGGCCGCCUCCUCCAUCUUCCCCAGGCCUCCUUCACCUGUGGGCAGGAGAUGUUUGUGACGUUCCUUCUGGUCAGCAGGACUUCAGGAAGAGCCGCCGCUAAGCCUGGGGGCAGGACUAGCCAGGCUCCCUACUGAGGCCUUCUCAUGUUCCUGACAAGGCCGUGGGUAAGCUUACUCGCCCAUUUUCCACCUGCGGAAAUGGGUUCAUAAGUUCAAACAUGCACAGCUGCAGGUGGGUGUCAGGAUUUGGGAUCUGGGCUCAGAGCCUGCAUUCACAUCACAACAUCACUACACUUCACUGCUUCCCUUGGCCACAUCUCCAUCACAUCUGAAGGGUUUUGUAUUCAAGGAGUCUUUUAAAAAUAACAAUUUUUGACCAGGAAGAAUUAGGACUGAGCAAGACUUAGUCAUAACAAACAGACAGACACAUCCACGCUCCACACCCUGGGCUGUGUAGAUGUGGCCUACCCCCUUCUUUUUGAAGUGCCUGUAAAUAAAUAAACCUGUGCCGAGCUGGGCUCAAAAUUGAGUGGUUUACCCACGUUUGACAUCCAGCGCAACCUGUGAAAGCUGUUUUGUUUUUAUUAUUGUGCAAAAAGUGUUCUAAUUACAAUAUGCUUUUCUGAGUCAGAAGAGAACGGUAAACCAUUUGGCUAUGGAGUGAUAUUUGUGAAAUCCCACUGGAAGAGAUUAUAAACUGAUUUUAAUGCACUUUUACUAAUGGUUUAAUAAUCCUAAGGAGAACUGACUGAGCCCUCAUAAUGAAUGAAGAAUUUUGAUGGCAGGAUCCGUAAGUGCUGAUGUUAGAGAAGGUCAAUGGAUUAGUGAGUCAGAUGCUUCCAGGGGCUUGUAUGAGUCAGGAAAAACAGGUCAUGCUGUGGAAACAAACCCCAAGGUCUCAGUGACGUAAGAAAAGUUUACCUCUUGCUCAUUAAAGGCUGGGUCAGGCAGCUCUCCAGGCCAACUCUCCUCGGGUGAGCGGGAUCCUUGCCACUUCCAUCUUGUAGCUGGGCCGUCUGGAGCCCCUGGCUUCCAGCAUUGCUAAAGUGAGGGAGAGGGGGUGAGAGGACUGGCGGGAAGGUCUAAGACCAUAUUGUAAUGUAUAAACUAGAAUGUAUACAUUCUACUGUAUAAAUUGAUUCUACCCAAGAGGUACAAGGGCUGGUUAAGAGCUGCUGUGCAGGUCAGAUAGAGUCAUCACACCUUUAGGUUGUGUCUUCAUUUUCUCUCAAAUACAUUAACAUAUUUUUUUAGAAUAGUUUCAGAAUUUUCGAAGCAAAACUGGAGUCUGUGAUGGUAAGCACUUGUCAUUGGAUUUAGGGUCCACUCUGAUCCAAGAUGAUCUCAUCUCCAAUCCCCAACUUAAUUAUGUCUGCAAAGACUCCAAAUAUCAUCACAUUCACAGGUUAUGGGUGGAUGUAUUUUUUUUGCGGGGGGACACUAUUCAACCCACUACAACCACCAUCUAGAAAGGACAGAUGUUAGCAUCCUAUCCUAGGUGACCCAGGUAUUUUUCAUAACAAAAUUCAACAUUUAAGAGAGCAUGAGAAGUAUAGUUUGAGGACUUGGCUCAUGCCAUUGUGGGGCUGGCAAGUUCCCACAGUGCAGGUUUAGCUGGCAGGCUGGGGACUUAGGGAAGCUGUCUUUGAGUCUAAAGACCAUCUGCUGGGAACAUUCCCUCUGGCUCAAGGAAGGUCAGUCUUUUCCUUAAGGCCUUCAAAUGAUGGGAUGAGGCCCACUCACAUCAUGGAGGAUACUCUGCUUUGCUGAAAGUCUCCUGACGUAAAUUAAUCCAUGAAAAAACACCUGCACAGAAACAUAUAGAAUAGUGUUUGACCAGAUGUCUGGGUACUGUGGCCUAGCCAAAUGAACACCUAAAAUUAACCUUCACACAACACAACACUGAAACCACGUCCUCAUACAAGUUUCCUUCCUCUAGGGGCGUGUUUUUCAGACCACGGUUCACGAACAUGAACGGAUCACAAAAUAAAUGUAGUGGGUCCUGACUGGCAUUUUAUAACUUGUCAGAUGGACUUGAUCCUGUAGAUAACAAUUAUGACUGUUUCAGUACACAAGUAAUAGAAGAGUACGCAGUCUCUGCAAAACCAAAACCAUAUUGAGAGACAAACAACACAAGCUGAUAUUGUCAGACUUUUUAAAAUGUGGCCAUUUUGGCGGGGCACGGUGGCUCACGCCUGUAAUCCCAGCAAUUUGGGAGGCUGAGGCAGGUGGAUCACCUGAGGUCAGGAGCUCAAGACUAGCCUGGCCAACAUGGUGAAACCCUGUCUCUACUAAAAAUACAAAAAUCAGCCAGGUGUGGUGGUGCACGCCUGUAGUCCCAGCUACUUGAGAAGCUGAGGCAGAAGAAUUGCUUGAACCUAACAGGCAGAGGUUGCAGUGAUUCGAGAUCACGCCACUGCACUCCAGCCUGGGUGACAGAGUCAGUGAGACUCUGUCUCAAAAAAAUAAAAAUAAAAAAAGGAAUGUGGCCAUUUGAAGGGUGAAAAGGGCACUCCAAUUUCUCAAUUUGUGUUUUCUUGAUUAUGAAGAGCUUGAGUGUUUCUUUGAUUAUUAUUGAUUAAUUGGGUUUCUUCUGAGCAUCACAUUCUUUAAAGAUCAAGCUGGAGUCAAGUCCCUUUUCCAGACCCGAGACAACGUCUGUCCCCUGCCCUUAGAGGCAGCUCUUGGAGUGUUCGGCUGGGCUCCUCCCUGCAGCCCCAACUCCUUACCACGACCGUUCACAUUCACACUGAGCAUCAAACCUCAAUAAGCAAUAGUCCUCUAGCUUCACAAAUCAACUUUUAGGGACUCUUCCUACCCACAAACAUUUCGUAAAUCUCGCUGCACCUCUGUGACCUACUGAUAGUGCUAGGGUGCCCACUUUCCUCUCCUUCCCCCGGCUCCCACCUCUUCCUCCUACUACUCCCUGGCUCGCUUAGUUCGGCGGCUCAGUGAGGUUUCUCACCCUCAGCACUUCGGACAUCAGGGCCAAACACUUCUUUGUUAUGGGUGCAGUCCUGUGCGGAUAUUUAACAGCAUCCCUGGCCUCUACCAAGAGGAGAUGCCAAGAGCACCUCCUCCCCAGCACUGAUAAUCAAAAUGUCUCCAGACAUUGCCAGAUGUCCCCUGGGCAGACAAAGUCACUCCCAGUUGAGAACCACUGACUUAAUUAAAGACCAAAAUUAAGUGCUGGUGGCAGAUACUCAGAGAAAAUACUUGUCCGUCCAGCAAAUACUGAAACCGAAAAGAGAAGAUAUUUGAACGCGUCGCUGACCCACCUGAUUCAGUCCCUUCUAGUGUUGCCUGCUUUCUGGUUGCUCUAAAUGUUUAGGCUUUGGCCAGGGUUUAUUUCUCUACCUGGGUACGUAUGUAGGAGUAGUUUCAGGAGAAAAAUAUUAUGUUCAUGACAAAUCGAGAGCAAAUAUAGAAAGGAUCUGUCUUUUAUUUCUAUGGCAGGAAAUGAUAGCUACCUAAAGGGGAGGUUUGCUUAAAUUUUCUGUCUUUUAAAUUGAAUUUUCUCUUGCUUUCACAGUUGGGACUGGGCUGCCAGAUGUUAUUAGUGUAGUUUGCCUUUUGAUGUUAAGGGAAGCUUAAGGCAACCAAGAUAACACAAGAAUAAGUCCUCCUUCAUCCACAGGUCAGAUAUAUGUCAAUCAUUACACUCUGAGACCAAGUUGAGAUCCUGAAAGAAGCAAAAAUAUUUUACAAAGUGCCCAGAUGCACAUCAUGGGGUGCAUUGCCAGGAUGUUUUUGACCUUUACUCACAGGGAGUCUUUCUCCACACUGGGACUCCUGGUUGAGUAUAAUUCUAACCAGUUUGAUUAUUGGCUUCCCCCGCAGUCAUUAGGAAAGGGUAGAUGCCUCAGGCGAGUGCAUUGAAAGUAGAUAAAAAUGACUGCCUACAACCUGAUGGAAGAAGACAAAGAACAACAACAAAUCUAAGGGGAAUACAAAAACAUCUCCAGACCUCAGAAAGCUUAGCAUCCUGAGGUUACCCCAUAUUUUGGAUAAGGUGUCAUAAACACUUCAUUCAUCCCUGUGAGUGCUAUAAUGACCCAGCACAGGACUGGAUAUUUGUAAUCAUGGCACAAAACUCAUCAGGCAAGGUUAAUUUAUGUUUAAAAUAAUCAGUUCUUAUGGAUGGUGGUGAUGGUGGUACAAGACGAAUAUACUUCAUGACUCUGAACUCUAAACUUCAAAAUGGUGAGAAUAGUAAAUUUUAUGUUUUGUGUAUUUUACCACAAAAAAGAAAUCAGUUCAUAAGAGAGUUAGGAACUUCGUAAUAUAUUUCAGGAAAAAAAAUGUAACCAAAAUUUCUAAGAUUAAAAAUAAAAAUGUGCUCCUUCAAGAGUUUGCAAAAGUUAUCUUAAUGAUUCACUCAUAAAUAGUCUCUCCUCCAUCAAAGAUGCUUGAUAAAUGUCACUGGAAUUCAUUCAUUCAAAAAAAAAACCAAACAAUCAUAUUUUGAUAGAAGGAAUUGGAUGUCAUGAUUUUUGGGAAUUGGGUCUUAUUUUCAACUCUGACAAUAAAAUAUGGCUGCAAAUCUUGUGGUCUGAUAGUGUGAUUUAAAAAAAAAAAAAAAUCCCACAUUGUAAGGCUGGGCUCACUCUGUGGCCCAGGCCCAGCCUGACUCCUCUGAUGAGUGUUGGCUUAGGGUUUCCACAUGAAUAGCCAGAGUUGAUGGAUGAAUACAUUUACUGUCUGGACUGAUAACAACGAACAGAUUCCUGGUGGCAAGCACUGGACACAACCCUCACAGGCCUCUAGAGUAACCGCGUUGAUUCAGCAACAUGGCCAUUUGAGUUAAUUUUAUCAGAAUGGCAGUGGCUUUGAGAACUUACUCACACAAACCCACAGUUUGUCAUGUUCCCAAGACCACAGCAGGUAUGGUCUAAGACAGUCUGUCGAAUGAGAAAAUUCGUCAUUGUCUGUUUCCCGCUCCCUAGUCGUUAGCAAUAUGCUUUCCUGGACGUUUUUGCUUUUCCACAUUGGAAUGGGAAAAAAUCUGUUAGGAGGGGCACUGAGUAUUCACUAAGAGGUGGUACUGUGUUUGGAAAAUUAGUUGGUUUGUACAGAUCACCUGCUUUCUGGUAACUGUUUUUUAAGAUAGAUAGCUUUGACUAUUUUGGUGGGGAAGUUUGCACUGAAAUUCUUACCUUUUUUGUUUGUUUUGCGUAGUGAGAACGCUAAUAUUCUGUAAAUGAGUCUAAGCUACAUUUUACUUGAUGCGGGCAAGUAUUAUAGAUUCCUUUAAGAGCCUUCAUUUUUAUCACAUGCAAAUCACGCAGCCCAUUUUUCAGUUAGGGUAAAGGAAGCUCUAAGAAUAGGCCGAGAUCUUCCACUCAACGGGUAAAUAGAAUUUGGACAAGAGUUUGAAAAUAUCAGCCAUCAGUUUGCUUGGAAGUUUUGGGCAGCCAACUUGGAUGGAAUUCUCUGAGAAAAGAAAGGAUUUUUUUCUGAAUCAUUUCCUUAGGAGGGAACUAACCACACCAAUUUUAGUCUCAAACUUUCUAAGUUAUUUCUCAAAGUCUUUGGAGGCUAUUCAAACCAGUUCCAAAAGUUUUUAUAAAGUCGAAAUGGCUCUGAAAUCUCCUGUCCAAGUACAGAGACAUAUGCUGAAUGGAUAGGGUGUGAGGCAGUUUUCUGAGAGUUUGUUUGGAUUUCAGGAAGUGGACAAGAUAAGCUGAAUGGCCUUUUCCUGCUCUGACUCUUAAAAAAAAAAAAAAAGAAAAAAGAAAAAAAAUCU